rnacentral:rRNA from 1 species
GACGAACGCUGGCGGCGUGCCUAAUACAUGCAAGUGGGACGCAAGGAAACACACUGUGCUUGCACACCGUGUUUUCUUGAGUCGCGAACGGGUGAGUAACGCGUAGGUAACCUGCCUAUUAGCUGGGGAUAACUAUUGGAAACGAUAGCUAAUACCGCAUAAUAUUAAUUAUUGCAUGAUAAUUGAUUGAAAGAUGCAAGCGCAUCACUAGUAGAUGGACCUGCGUUGUAUUAGCUAGUUGGUAAGGUAAGAGCUUACCAAGGCGACGAUACAUAGCCGACCUGAGAGGGUGAUCGGCCACACUGGGACUGAGACACGGCCCAGACUCCUACGGGAGGCAGCAGUAGGGAAUCUUCGGCAAUGGACGAAAGUCUGACCGAGCAACGCCGCGUGAGUGAAGAAGGUUUUCGGAUCGUAAAGCUCUGUUGUAAGUCAAGAACGUGUGUGAGAGUGGAAAGUUCACACAGUGACGGUAGCUUACCAGAAAGGGACGGCUAACUACGUG